CGGUUUUCUUCCGACAUCGAUAUAAUUGGAGAAGAAAGGAGGGAUAAUGGUUUGGUUUUGUUGUCUGAUUAUAGUGUUUUUGAGUUUGGUUUGGUUUCUUGUCUGAUUAAAGUGUUUUUGAGUUGGUGUAUUGUAAUAUUUAUAGAGAAGCUAGCGUAAACGGCUAUAUUUCUCUUAAAGGUUUGAGUCUGGUAUCGAGAUCCACAACACAAAACGCCUGCGUUUCUCCUAACGGUAAUAAUAAUGUUGGAAUCGAACCGGUCUUGCAACCACCUAAACCGGUCUUGCAACUUCUUCUCGAAGAUGGUGCCUUAGCUAUACUAACUGAUGAAAAAGAAAGACGAUAUGAAUGCUUAGUCUUAAAGACAGAUCUUUGCUUUUGCGUAGUUCUAGACUGAAGUUGAUAUUGGAGUAUGGGCUGGCUACAACUGUAGAGCUAGACGCCAUGGUGCUGUGAAAUUGAUAGAUCUUCUUCUUGUACAUCCCCGGAAUGCUUGUGACAUUGAAACUUAACAACAUGGUUCUUGUUCAUGUUUCUUCACUAGUGUUUCUCAAGAAAAUUGAGUCUUGUAUCCAUCAAAAUACCCAGGUGGUGAUGAUGAAUCUGUCAACAAGCUUUUAUCCAAUUACAUGUACUUCACGGCUUGUAUGUGGUGCUGUGUCCUGAUUACCAUUUGUAAUUAAACUGAAAGAACUAGCAAUGAUGAAGAUGGGGGUUGUCCUUCUUUGUAGACGUUGGUUAUUAGUGAAUGGUGAUUAUACUGGUGGGUUUGAGAAUGAAAUGCCGAGCAUUGUGAAGGCACAUAUUGACUAUUGGUAUAGUCAUUCUGGGUUUUAUAAAAUCAGCCAAGGAUCUCUGUUUAUGUUUAUCAUUCUCAAAGACUCAGCAAAGGUUGAAAAGGAAGGAUUCUCAUUACCUAGUUCAUGUACUUCUCCUGGAAUGUCAGUUUUUGGGUUUUGUAGUUCCCAAGGAAAGUAUACACUUGAGAGCAGUUCCUCUUAUUUCAUCGGAUGAGUCUUGGAGGCUCUCAUCGUCUUUGCUUGGCGCACCAACCAGAACCGCAACACCACCCCAGCCCUGAGACAACAUCACAUAGUCAUAGGUUCAAAUACAUAUGUAUGGAUAUUGGAUAAUGUAGUUAGUUAUAAAUGGCUGUAAAAUUGUCUUCAUGUAUAUUUACUCUGUUUUGUUCUUCUCACUGAUCUUCGGCCUUUCCAUGUCAUUACAAGUAUUAUUUGAGUCAUUAUAGAUAAUUUCUCAAAUAAAUAUUGGUUUUUGUUUGGUAACAUGCA